rnacentral:lncRNA from 1 species
UGUGUGUGUGUGUGUGCGUGUGCGUGUGUGUGUGUGUGUGUUUUCUAGAGAUAGGGUCUCACCUAGGCUGGAGUGCAAUGGCAUGAUUCUAGCUCACUGCAGCCUCAAACUCCUGGGCUCGAGUGAUUCUCCUACCUCACCCUCCCAAGUAGCUAGGACUACAGAUGUAUGCCACCAUGCCCGGCUAAUUUUUUAAUUUUUUGGUAGAGAUGGAGUCUUGCUAUGUUGUCCAGGCUGAUAUUUAGUAUAAUUUUAAUUAACGUUAUCAGUAGAAAAAAGACAACAAAUACAUCAAACUGCUUUUGAAUGCUAGGACCAUGAAUAAUGUUUCUCUUUGUACUUAAACAUUUUCUAUAAUUAUAAAAACUAAGUUCAAGGCAUAUCUGGAAAUACAUUUAAAACCUCAAAUUGUUAGCCGGGCAUGGUGGCUCACACCUGUAAUCCCAGCACUUUGGGAGGCCGAGGCGGGCAGAUCACUAGAGGUCAGGAGAUCAAGACCAUCCUGGCUAACACAGUGAAACCCCAUCUCUACUAAAAAUACAAAAACAAAGUUAGCCAGGUGUGGUGGUGGGCGCCUGCCCUAGUCCCAGCUACUCAGGAGGCUGAGGCGGGAGAAUGGUGUGAACCCGGGAGGCAGAGCUUGCAGUGAGCAGAGAUUGCACCACUAUGCUCCAGCCUGGGCGACAGAGUGAGACACCGUCUCAAAAACAAAAACAAAAACAAAAAACAAAAAACCCUAUUUAUUUUUUAUAUUUAUUUACAUAACUUUGAAAACAAAAAUGAUACUUAAGACAAAAAGUGUUUCAUUGGAAACCCAUUUCCAUUUCUUUUCCUGGACAUGUCUUUUCUAAUACUGCUCAUUAGCGUCUACAAUGUGGAAGCAAGUCCUGAGUGAAUAUGCAACCCUGCUCCACCUAUGGGGAAGUGGGACCAGAACCAGAAACAUCAGCACACAGGGACACAGCCCUGGAAACACAACCUCUGCUUUCAAAGCAGAUUGGCCACUAAGAGUUUUUAUUACCUAUUUUCUUUGCCAUAUUGUAGUUCCCAAUUCUCAAAAAUAAAAAUGUUAAGAGAAAUAUGAAAGACGGCUAAAAAGAGAGAAGAAACAAUGAAAAAGGAGAUGGCUCAUGCCUGUAAUCCCUUUGGGAGGCCGAGGCGGGUGGAUCACGAGGUCAGGAGAUCAAGACCAUCAUGGCUAACAGGAUGAAACCCCGUCUCUACUAAAAAUACAAAAAAUUAGCCGAGCAUGGUGGCAGGAGCCUGUAGUCCCAGCUAACUGGGAGGCUGAGGCAGGAGAAUGGUGUGAACCCAGGAGGCGGAACUUGCAGUGAGUGGAGAUCGCACCACUGCACUCCAACCUGGGCGACAGAGCAAGACUCCGUCUCAAAAAGAAAAAGAAAAAGAAAAAGAAAAAGGACAGAAGGGCAAAAAAGAAACAGGUACAGGGGACAUGGAGAGGUGGUCAGGGACACGGAUAUGGGCACAAGAAAGAGGAGGGAGAGAGAGAGGAGGAAGUUCUUGGCACAGAACUAGUCCUUCUCUACCCUCGAUUUAUUCUCAAGAAAUAAGAAAGUACGUUUUGUUUUGAUAGUCACUUAAUAGCAACAUGAACUGGCAGGUAGGAGAGUGGAGUCAGUGGAAACAGCUGCCAAAGCAGGGGUCAUGGAGAAGAACCAUAGGCAGGCAACACACACACACUGUGUGUGCUCCGCAACAAAGGUGCCAUUAGUCUCAAAGCAUAGUGGAUCAGUGAGUUGGGCUUAUGAAUGUUCCCAAGUCUUUUCCACUUCUGACCACAUUUUGAGUAUGUGUUAAUCAAAUUCAUCUCCUAAAUAUUUAGUAUAAGGCUUUAUGUAAUGAGUUCUCAAAUGCAUGUUGCUGAGCCACUGACAGCAGGAAACAAGCUACCUCCCACCAGGAAACCACUAACUAGUUUAUAUGCCUGUAACACAUAUCACUGUAAUUCUGGGUCCUAACAAAAACCUUUUUCAUAAAAACGGGUACCAGUCAGGAAGACCCAAAUGCAUAUUAGGGAAGUAAUUAUCUAUUACUCUCUAGGAUACUGAUAAAGGAAGGGACUUCCAUGUCAAUUUCUAAAUAUUCAAGAGGCCUUGAAUAUCCCAAGGUGCCUGUUAGGGUCAUUAUUUUGAAACUAAAAGCAGACCUGGCCUCUUCUGAUUAAGAAAGCACACACACACACACUUUUCACUCUGACUGUUGACAAUUCAAGCCCAUGCACAGUACAUGCUUCCUUGGGAAUACCUCUCGUGUAUAUACUCUGGUAGGGCCAGGCCUAUAGGGGCAUCCUGUUGCCUUCAAUGCUGAACUUGACAGCACGAUGCACUUUGCUGAGUCGUUUCUGUUCUGCAAAUCGCCUCUUAUGCUUUUCCAAUCGGCUUAGGCCCUUUUUAAGAAUACCAGGCUAGAAGUAGUAGUUUGAUUGGAGAAUAAAAAGAGAUUACUGAGAAACACUGAAGAUCCACUGAGCAGUAUUUACAAUGAUAACAGAAUAAGUGUCUACCCUAAUCAUUUGCAAUGGAAUUGCUUAAACCGUUGAAGAGAAAGGGAGAGGUAGGUCUGCUGAAGCACGUAAGCUCUGUUUCUCAUGGUUAUUAAAAAAAAAAAUUCACUGUAUCAGAAUACUCCAGGUUUCAAUUUCAAGCCUUGCUUGAAGUAAAGGGAUUAAUAAGAAGAAACUUCCCUACCUGAUAAUGUUGAAUUAAGACUGAAGAAAAAUUCAUCAGCAAUAAACUUUAAUCCUGGGUAAUACUUUUCCUUUCUCUAUUGCUCAAUUUGUGGUUUGGCUAGAUAAGCGACCAGAAAACAGUCCUCUCUGAAUCAGACAAACUUCAAGAGCUACAAGGGUUAUUAACACAUGAAGUAAAGAGUCAAACAGUAAUCUGCAGGAACUCGGAAACGGGACCCAGAAAGUUGUUUUCUCAAGUGGAUGGAACAACACAAGCAAUCAGUAUCCUGAAACAGGCCCUGUUCCAACAAACUGACCCAGAAAGCAAGUAUGAGGACUCCUGUUUCCCUACGUACUCACUACUACAGCAAAGAUAUCAAACAUUGAUACCCACCAAUCUCUGGAUGGAAAAACAAAUCUCAGGAAUCGCUUGCAGGAGGCUCUGCACGUUCCUCAGAUUCAGAGUCGCUGUCCUUUUGCCUGUGAAGCUCCUCACUUUCAGAGUCACUAGCAUUAAGAUUUAAGGGCUCAUCGUUCUCAGAGUCUGUCACAUGAUGUCCUUUGGGGAGGCCAUCUUCUCGAUCACUAGUUUCAUUCUGAAAAAUAAAGUGAGAAAAAAUUAGGAAAGUGCAAAAAAAAAAAAACCAUUAAU